rnacentral:rRNA from 1 species
GCAAAGAGGUCGGUUACCACGGUGUGGCCGAUGACUGGGGUGAAGUCGUAACAAGGUAGCCGUAGGGGAACCUGCGGCUGGAUCACCUCCUUAACGAA